rnacentral:rRNA from 1 species
AGAACGAACGCUGGCGGCAUGCCUAAUACAUGCAAGUCGAACGAACACUUCGGUGUUAGUGGCGCACGGGUGCGUAACGCGUGGGAAUCUGCCCUUGGGUUCGGAAUAACAGUUGGAAACGACUGCUAAUACCGGAUGAUAUCGAAAGAUCAAAGAUUUAUCGCCCAGGGAUGAGCCCGCGUAGGAUUAGCUAGUUGGUGAGGUAAAGGCUCACCAAGGCGACGAUCCUUAGCUGGUCUGAGAGGAUGAUCAGCCACACUGGGACUGAGACACGGCCCAGACUCCGUACGGGAGCAGCAGUAGGGAUA